GAUGAAGAACGCAGCGAAAUGCGAUAAGUAGUGUGAAUUGCAGAAUUCAGUGAAUCAUCGAAUCUUUGAACGCACAUUGCGCCCUUUGGUAUUCCAAAGGGCAUGUCUGUUCGAGCGUCAUUUGUACCCUCAAGCUUUGCUUGGUGUUGGGCGUCUUGUCUCUAGCUUUGCUGGAGACUCGCCUUAAAGUAAUUGGCAGCCGGCCUACUGGUUUCGGAGCGCAGCACAAGUCGCACUCUCUAUCAGCAAAGGUCUAGCAUCCAUUAAGCCUUUUUUUCAACUUUUGACCUCGGAUCAGGUAGGGAUACCCGCUGAACUUAAGCAUAUCAAUAAGCGGAGGA
rnacentral:misc_RNA from 1 species